UACGUAGGGUGCGAGCGUUAAUCGGAAUUACUGGGCGUAAAGCGUGCGCAGGCGGUUCGUUAAGUCAGAUGUGAAAGCCCCGGGCUCAACCUGGGAACGGCAUUUGAGACUGGCGAGCUGGAGUCUGGCAGAGGGGGGUGGAAUUCCACGUGUAGCAGUGAAAUGCGUAGAGAUGUGGAGGAACACCGAUGGCGAAGGCAGCCCCCUGGGCUGAGACUGACGCUCAGGCGCGAAAGCGUGGGGAGCAAACAGG
rnacentral:rRNA from 1 species